rnacentral:piRNA from 1 species
UGGUAUUGUUUUCAUGAAAAA